rnacentral:rRNA from 1 species
UACGGAGGGAGCUAGCGUUGUUCGGAAUUACUGGGCGUAAAGCGCAUGUAGGCGGCUACUCAAGUCGGGGGUGAAAGCCCGGGGCUCAACCCCGGAACUGCCUUCGAAACUAGGUAGCUAGAAUCUUGGAGAGGCGAGUGGAAUUCCGAGUGUAGAGGUGAAAUUCGUAGAUAUUCGGAAGAACACCAGUGGCGAAGGCGACUCGCUGGACAAGUAUUGACGCUGAGGUGCGAAAGCGUGGGGAGCAAACAGG